GGGAAUCUGAAGGAUGGCAGAACAGAACUGGGACCAGUGGUCUGAAGCCAGCAAGAGGCUGAUUUCAGCUCAAAAAAAGUGUCCAGAUUCAACUGAAGCUCUCUUUCUUCAUCCUUUCCCUCCUUCUCCAAAGUGUGUCGUCUACCUCCAGUGGUUCCCUGGCUGAUACAAUGUACAUAAACCAGGUUAAUGACGCUGAAGAUCCCGACUAGAGCACCACAUUCUCAAGUGCACCAUGGGAACUGAUGCUGGCAGGGAUGCAUCCGUUUCCUCCAGGGACAUGGUGACCUGAUCUGCCUUCAGCAAAGACACAGCGCACUUCAUCUUGCAUUCUUUUUUCGCAAAAGGAGUGGUGAACCCAGAAAUAGGUUGAGUAAUCACUAUCUUGAGAGAGUAUUUGGCAUUGAGAGAAAAACACCAGCUUUGGGAUCAGCCUUCCCCAGCUCUCCUACCUCCCUCUGGCUGAUAUCGAACAAGUGAC